rnacentral:rRNA from 1 species
GAGAGUUAAAUAGUACGUGAAAUUGUUGAAAGGGAAACGAUUGAAGUCAGUCAUGCUAGUGAAAAUUCAGUUUGACGGGUUUUAGGUUUGGGAGUAGAGGCAGGGUCAAACCGUUUCUCUUUUGAACUUGGGAUUUGUCAGAUGCACUUUUUCUUUGGCAGGUCAGCGUCGAUUUCGGAGGUUGUAAAAUACUUGGGGUAAAGUAACUCUGCUUCGGUAGAGUAUUAUAGACCUUGAGGGAUGCAGCCUGCGGGAUCGAGGAUUGCAGCAAAUGCCUUUGGCUUGGCGCCUGAUCUCUGGAUGUUACCUCGCUUGUGACAACAUUCUUGCCUCCGGUGAGUACUAAUGCCCAUUAGGUUAGAGCGACCAGAAAUUUGCUAAGGAUGCUGACGUAAUGGCUUUAAACGA